rnacentral:rRNA from 1 species
AUGAAAAUCGUGGAGAAAGAGUUGGCGACCUUGUAUGACAAAUGUGUUUCCCAAGAUAAGCGAGCUGGAAAUGGAGAAAGUGUAUCUUCCUCUAUAAACAUUCCUAGUAUCCCGGUUCAAGCUGGGUAUGAGUCCUUCUUAUCGUCCCGUUCAACAAGAAUAUCAAAGAGUGAGUUGAGGAACUACUUAGAGGAUGCGGUUGAACCUCGCAACAAGGCUCUUGAUCUUCUUGGUUGGUGGAAAGUCAAUGCUCCUAGGUACCCAAUUAUGGCCAAGAUAGCCAGGAGGUUCCUUACUAUCCCGGCUACCUCCGUGUCUUCAGAAUCUACCUUCAGCACGACCGGAAGGAUUUUAGAUGACUACAGGAGUUCGUUAAAACCGGUUAUGGUGGAGGCAUUAGUUUGUGGUGCAAGUUAUAUAAAGGGUGCUCACGUUGACUUGAAUCUGGUGCCGAGGGAUGAGAAUGAAGAGGAUGAUGUUGAAACCAUCAAGUUACCCAUCGUGGAGGAGAUCAACGAUUGA